rnacentral:snRNA from 1 species
GUGUUUCUUCAGCAGCACAUAUACUAAAAUUAGAACUAUACAGAGAAGACUAGCAUGGCCCCUGUACAAGGAUGACACACAAAUUCAUGAAGCUUUCCGUAUUUUU